CGCGUAGGUAACCUGCCUGGUAGUGGGGGAUAACUAUUGGAAACGAUAGCUAAUACCGCAUAAUAACAGUUGUUGCAUGACAACUGUUUGAAAGGUGCAAUUGCAUCACUACCAGAUGGACCUGCGUUGUAUUAGCUAGUUGGUGGGGUAACGGCUCACCAAGGCGACGAUACAUAGCCGACCUGAGAGGGUGAUCGGCCACACUGGGACUGAGACACGGCCCAG
rnacentral:rRNA from 1 species